UACGGAGGGGGCUAGCGUUGUUCGGAAUUACUGGGCGUAAAGCGCACGUAGGCGGCUUUGCAAGUUAGAGGUGAAAGCCCGGGGCUCAACUCCGGAAUUGCCUUUAAAACUGCAUCGCUAGAAUUGUGGAGAGGUAAGUGGAAUUCCGAGUGUAGAGGUGAAAUUCGUAGAUAUUCGGAAGAACACCAGUGGCGAAGGCGGCUCACUGGACAUGUAUUGACGCUGAGGUGCGAAAGCGUGGGGAGCGAACAGG
rnacentral:rRNA from 1 species